ensembl:snRNA U6 U6 spliceosomal RNA
GUGCUUGCUACGGCUGCACAUAUACUAAAAGUUGAUCGAUACAGAGAAGAUUAGCAUGGCCCCUGCUAAAGGAUGACAACGCAAAUCGGUGAAGCGUCCAUAUUUUGU